GGAGAAACUUGGGUGUUUGGCAGUUUACUGAUGUAUAAAGACAAAAUGCCAAAGAAAUGGCAUCUAUUACAGGAUCUCACUGUAAAGUAACAAGGUGCUUUAUAAGUCAUCGUGUACAUGGAGCAUUGGGAAGCACAGGGAAAUUUGAGAAGGGGAAAUCUUCAGGGAACUUGCAUCCCAAAAUAUCCUCUUUGGUGGGUGGGUGGUUCAUAUAUAAAAUAAAAUUCUGUGUUUGAGCUAUGAAUCAAACAAGCUGCUUUUCUGCCUAGCAACACCAAAUAUAGGCAGAAUUUCCAUAAGUGCAUAUGGGCACUGCAAGUAUUCUGUUAAAUUUUGUUCAUGGUUAAGAUUGGGCAUUGCCUUUGUGUGUUUGGGCUUCCACAAUAAAAUAGAUUUGACUAUAUAUAUAUAGGAUGCAUGGCUGUCUAUGAUCAUAGUACCAAGAGAUUUGGUAUCUAAUGAAGAUUAUCAUUCUUCCCCACAGUGCCUUCUGCAUAUCUUCAUGGAGUAGAAGGCUCCCUUGAGCCUUUGUGUGAAGGUAUUUUCCCCAUUUAUGAAAGCUGUGAGUUCAUAAACUGUUGUUUCUUCCUUAGACCCCCACCGCAACACAACACACAAAGGUAUUCAACCUGAAUAUAAGAGGUGUUGAGAGGAAGAAUACAUUCACACCACAGCAGCCAUUGUGUCCCUCAGGCCUUGGUCUCAUGGGUCUGUCUCAUCCACCUAGGUACUGACUCAUUUUAAAGUCAGAAAAAGAAGGGAGGAAUGAAGGAAGGAAUGAAGGAAUGAAGGAAUAAAGGAAGGAAGGAAGGAAGGAAGGAAGGAAGGAAGGAAGGAAGGAAGGAAGAAAGAAAGAAAGAAAGAAAGAAAGAAAGAAAGAAAGAAAGAAAGAAAG
rnacentral:lncRNA from 1 species